GACGAACGCUGGCGGCGUGCUUAAUACAUGCAAGUCGAGCGAGGUUACUGUUUUGGAUCCCUUCGGGGUGAAGAAGCUUUAACCUAGCGGCGGACGGGUGAGUAACGCGUGGGUAACCUACCCCAAAGUCCGGGAUAACAGUGGGAAACCGCUGCUAAUACCGGAUGCCUUUACCUUGGGGCAUCUUGAGGUAAAGAAAGGUAACGCUUUGGGAUGGGCCCGCGUCCCAUUAGCUAGUUGGUGAGGUAACGGCUCACCAAGGCGACGAUGGGUAGCCGGCCUGAGAGGGUGGACGGCCACACUGGGACUGAGACACGGCCCAGACUCCUACGGGAGGCAGCAGUAGGGAAUAUUGCGCAAUGGACGGAAGUCUGACGCAGCGACGCCGCGUGAGCGAUGAAGGUCUUCGGAUCGUAAAGCUCUGUCCUUGGGGAAGAAGGUCCUCGGACUUGACGGUACCCAAGAAGAAAGCCCCGGCUAACUACGUGCCAGCAGCCGCGGUAAUACGUAGGGGGCGAGCGUUGUCCGGAAUUACUGGGCGUAAAGGGUGCGUAGGCGGCCCUUUAAGUCGGAUGUGAAAGCCCGCGGCUUAACCGCGGAAUGGCAUUCGAAACUGGAGGGCUUGAGUGUCGGAGAGGGUAGUGGAAUUCCCAGUGUAGCGGUGAAAUGCGUAGAUAUUGGGAGGAACACCAGUGGCGAAGGCGACUACCUGGACGAUAACUGACGCUGAGGCACGAAAGCUAGGGGAGCAAACAGGAUUAGAUACCCUGGUAGUCCUAGCCGUAAACGAUGGGUACUAGGUGUGGGUGGUUUCGAUACCAUCCGUGCCGUAGUUAACGCAUUAAGUACCCCGCCUGGGGAGUACGUGCGCAAGCAUGA
rnacentral:rRNA from 1 species